AUUGAACGCUGGCGGCAUGCCUUACACAUGCAAGUCGAACGGCAGCACGGGAGCAAUCCUGGUGGCGAGUGGCGAACGGGUGAGUAAUAUAUCGGAACGUGCCCAGUCGUGGGGAUAACGUAGCGAAAGCUACGCUAAUACGCAUACGAUCUAUGGAUGAAAGCGGGGGGAUCGCAAGACCUCGCGCGAUUGGAGCGGCCGAUAUCAGAUUAGGUAGUUGGUGAGGUAAAGGCUCACCAAAGCCGACGAUCUGUAGCUGGUCUGAGAGGACGACCAGCACACUGGGACUGAGACAGGCCCAGACUCCUACGGGAGGCAGCAGUGGGGAAUUUU
rnacentral:rRNA from 1 species